ACUCCUACGGGAGGCAGCAGUGGGGAAUCUUGCACAAUGGGCGAAAGCCUGAUGCAGCGACGCCGCGUGAGCGAUGAAGCCCUUCGGGGUGUAAAGCUCUUUCGACGGGAACGAUAAUGACGGUACCCGGAGAAGAAGCUGCGGCUAACUACGUGCCAGCAGCCGCGGUAAUACGUAGGCAGCGAGCGUUGUUCGGAAUUACUGGGCGUAAAGAGUGUGUAGGCGGUGCUCCCAGUCUGUUGUGAAAUCUCCCGGCUUAACUGGGAGGGUGCAGCGGAAACUAGAGUGCUAGAGGGUGGGAGAGGUAAGCGGAAUUCCUGGUGUAGCGGUGAAAUGCGUAGAUAUCAGGAGGAACACCUGUGGUGUAGACAGCUUACUGGACCACUUCUGACGCUGAGACACGAAAGCGUGGGUAGCAAACAGGAUUAGAUACCCUGGUAGUCCACGCCCUAAACGAUGCAUACUUGGUGUGAGCGAUUCAUUUCGUUCGUGCCGGAGCUAACGCGUUAAGUAUGCCGCCUGGGGAGUACGGUCGCAAGACUGAAACUUAAAGGAAUUGACG
rnacentral:rRNA from 1 species